rnacentral:rRNA from 1 species
AGGAUGAACGCUGGCGGUAUGCUUAACACAUGCAAGUCGAACGAGAGUCUUCGGACUUUAGUGGCGGACGGGUGAGUAACGCGUGAGAAUCUGCCUUUAGGACGGGGACAACAGUUGGAAACGGCUGCUAAAACCCGAUGUGCCCUUCGGGGUGAAAUAUUUAUAGCCUGAAGAUGAGCUCGCGUCUGAUUAGCUAGUAGGUAAGGUAAUGGCUUACCUAGGCGACGAUCAGUAACUGGUCUGAGAGGAUGACCAGUCACACUGGGACUGAGACACGGCCCAGACUCCUACGGGAGGCAGCAGUGGGAAUUUUCCGCAAUGGGCGCAAGCCUGACGGAGCAAUACCGCGUGAGGGAGGAAGGCUCUUGGGUCGUAAACCUCUUUAUCAGGGAAGAACACAAUGACGGUACCUGAUGAAUCAGCAUCGGCUAACUCCGUGCCAGCAGCCGC